AUCAAUAUUUCUUUAUCGGAUGGCCUUAUAAAAUGUUAGUUUACAAUUUAGAGGAUUUGGAUUCAAUUCUAGCCAUACAUCAAAUUUUUUUUACUGGCUGUGGCACUAAACUUGUGAAUCCCAUCCAUUUAUGACCUAUUCCAUCAGGAGAUCAGUUGUAUUAGCUGAAUGAAUGUGCUUUCUGUUUCAGUUAUAAGAACUCAGAAUCAAAUCCAUUUCCUAUUUGAAAUCAGUAUGUGGGUACAUGUACAUGUAUCAGUAUCAGGGUACAUGUGGCAUAAUACAGGACAAAUGAUAUUAGUGCCAGUUAUAUUCCUAUACAUUAAAAAUGCCUGCUUUAAUCCACUUUUAAAAUAUUCACUCAUUAUAAAUUUCUCUAAAAGUGAAAUAAAGCUUGUAUAUCAAAUUUUUG
rnacentral:lncRNA from 1 species